GACGAACGCUGGCGGCGUGCUUAACACAUGCAAGUCGAACGAAAAGGCGCUGCUUUUGUGGGGUGCUCGAGUGGCGAACGGGUGAGUGACACGUGAGUAACCUGCCCUUGACUUUGGGAUAACAUCAGGGGACUGGGGCUAUUACCGGGGAGGAGCUCUUGCAGCAUGGGGGGGGUUGGAAAGUUUCGGCGGUGGGGGAUGGACUCGCGGCUUAUGAGCUUGUUUGGGGGGUAGUGGCGUACCAAGCCUUUGACGGGUAGGCGGCCUUAGAGGGGGGCCGGCGACAAUGGGACUGCGAUACGGCCCAGACGGCUACGUGAGGCAGCAGGGGGGAAUAUUGCACAACGGGCGGAAGCCUGAUGUAGCAACGCCGGGUUCGUGAUGACGUCCUUCGGGUGAAAAACCGAUUUCGCCGGUGACGAAGCGGGAGUGACGGUAAUGGGUAAAGAAGCACCGGCUAACUACGUG
rnacentral:rRNA from 1 species